rnacentral:tRNA from 1 species
CGGGAGCUAGGUUAAUUUAAAACUCUGAGUUUCCAAAACUCAAAAUGGUGGAAGUCCCGCCGCUUCUGC